CCCCUUCCAGCAUCCCCUCUCCUCUGCCCCGCAAGCCACAAGCUGGCAGCUUUCCGAUUCCAGAGCAAGCUUGCCACACGAAUCCUGCGAGGAACAGCAGUUAUGUCUUAAUCUCCUCUCCUCCUGUCCCCACCGGAGGCUGAGCCACUCUGCCUGGGAAGGACGGAGGAAGGGCAACCUGCACAGGCUUUGCCCGAGAAGGGUUCUCAUCCUCCUUGCAAAUUCUAAGAGGACACCCACCCAUUGGAAGGGUUUUCCCUCCCGCUCGCCCCCAUCCCGAACUCUCUCCACGCCCCGCUUCUUCCCCCACGCACACGGCGGCUGCACCGUCACAGAAAGCAGCCGCUGGAAUAAUCAGCGAAGCCACAGGUCUCCCCAUCUUGGCAAGUGGAGGUGUGCGCUGCCCUCAGACAUCUGUGAACCGCUGUUCAACGCCAACCCCGAAGGCAGAAGGGGAAACCAAGUCACCUCCCAGAAAGACGUUUGAUGAGCAGAGAUAGAUUUGCCUCCAGACUGGUACCAGGUCUGGGGAAACCCAGGCAGAGCCCCAGGCUCUAUGCGACCCAAAGAAGAAAAAAAUGGGUGCACAGUGAUGGCUCCAGGUCUCCCCACCCAGAUGCUACCACGAAAUCCCUGGCAUCCACGAAGCUUCCCCCUGUUCCAUGGUGGAAAUUGGGGGAAAAUGGACUUGUGUCUCCAAGCAGGGUCCAUGGACACUGGACGAUGCCUGAAAUCCCCUGGGAGGCAGGGAAAAAAGGCGCACUGAACGCUCAACCGGGGUAUAAGGAGUGAUUUUUUUUUCUCUGCUGGCAGCAGGCAGGAACCUGGGGUUUGAAUGUCCCCUUCUCUGUCGCCACCUCACGCAGACUUCAGAGGCUCUCAAGGUUUCCUGGAGAGGGGGAAAUCGUCCCCGGAGCUGACCUGCCAACCAGUAGCACCCUCCAGCGCCUCA